GGACGGCAGUCACAACGGCACUCGGACGAGCGCGCCGUACCCGACCAGCGACAAGACGGUGCUCA
rnacentral:ncRNA from 1 species